rnacentral:rRNA from 1 species
CAGCGCCACAAGUGGGGAUCAGCAUUAUUGGGCCUAAAGCGUCCGUAGCUUGUUUUGUAAAUCCUUUGUGAAAUUGUUGCGCUCAACGUAACACCACGCAUAGGAGACUGCUUAACUUGGAACCGGGAGGAGUAAGAAGUAUUCUUGGGGGAGCGGUAAAAUGUUAUAAUCCCAAGAGGACUACCUGUGGCGAAGGCGUCUUACUAGAACGGAUUCGACAGUGAGGGACGAAAGCUAGGGGAGCGAACCGGAUUAGAUACCCGAGUAGUCC